GAUGAACGCUGGCGGCGUGCCUAAUACAUGCAAGUCGAGCGAACAGAUGAGGAGCUUGCUCCUCUGACGUUAGCGGCGGACGGGUGAGUAACACGUGGAUAACCUACCUAUAAGACUGGGAUAACUUCGGGAAACCGGAGCUAAUACCGGAUAAUAUAUUGAACCGCAUGGUUCAAUAGUGAAAGACGGUUUUGCUGUCACUUAUAGAUGGAUCCGCGCCGCAUUAGCUAGUUGGUAAGGUAACGGCUUACCAAGGCAACGAUGCGUAGCCGACCUGAGAGGGUGAUCGGCCACACUGGAACUGAGACACGGUCCAGACUCCUACGGGAGGCAGCAGUAGGGAAUCUUCCGCAAUGGGCGAAAGCCUGACGGAGCAACGCCGCGUGAGUGAUGAAGGUCUUCGGAUCGUAAAACGCUGUUAUUAGGGAAGAACAAAUGUGUAAGUAACGAUGCACGUCUGGAGGGUACCUAAUCAGAAAGCCACGGCUAACUACGU
rnacentral:rRNA from 1 species